rnacentral:lncRNA from 1 species
CUUUGAGAUCCCGUGUGAAAGGAGAUGAUGACUACAAAGAUGGUGGAUUUCAAGCAAGAUGUAUCAUGGAGAAAGGUCUCAAUUCCUACGUUUCUUUGUUUCAUCAUUGAAAAUGGCCAUUCACUAUGUGUCUUGAAUAUGAUGUAUGCAGCUGCUGUCACUGCCUUCGCUGUCCAUCCCCUGCUGCUGAUACAAUGAUCCCUCUCUAGCUUCCAGGCUCAGAGCCAGCCUAGGCACUGCCUCCCGCUGUGCUGUCCUACUGCUUCCGGGAUCCUGCAUCAUUGCCCUCAUUGUAUGUGACUACGCUGAUUGUCUGAUUAUCACACGGAAUACAGAACCUACCCAAGGCUUGGCAUCAGUAAAGCUUGGAAUUAAGUGAGGUCUGUCUAAUUCCAAAGCUCAGGCUCUUUCAACGGCCACAGCUGAUCAAUCACCCCAUGAUUAAAAAUAACUCACUAUCCAAAGCCCGCA